rnacentral:rRNA from 1 species
UACGUAGGGUGCGAGCGUUAAUCGGAAUUACUGGGCGUAAAGGGUGCGCAGGCGGUCUCGUAAGCUGGGUGUGAAAGCCCCGGGCUUAACCUGGGAAUGGCAUUCAGGACUGCGAGGCUUUGAGUGUGGCAGAGGGAGGUGGAAUUCCACGUGUAGCAGUGAAAUGCGUAGAGAUGUGGAGGAACACCGAUGGCGAAGGCAGCCUCCUGGGCCAGCACUGACGCUCAUGCACGAAGCGUGGGAGCAAACAGG